GAUGAACGCUGGCGGCGUGCCUAAUACAUGCAAGUCGAGCGAACAGACGAGGAGCUUGCUCCUCUGACGUUAGCGGCGGACGGGUGAGUAACACGUGGAUAACCUACCUAUAAGACUGGGAUAACUUCGGGAAACCGGAGCUAAUACCGGAUAAUAUAUUGAACCGCAUGGUUCAAUAGUGAAAGACGGUUUUGCUGUCACUUAUAGAUGGAUCCGCACCGCAUUAGCUAGUUGGUAAGGUAACGGCUUACCAAGGCAACGAUGCGUAGCCGACCUGAGAGGGUGAUCGGCCACACUGGAACUGAGACACGGUCCAGACUCCUACGGGAGGCAGCAGUAGGGAAUCUUCCGCAAUGGGCGAAAGCUUGACGGAGCAACGCCGCGUGAGUGAUGAAGGUCUUCAGAUCGUAAAACUCUGUUAUUAGGGAAGAACAAAUGUGUAAGUAACUAUGCACGUCUUGACGGUACCUAAUCAGAAAGCCACGGCUAACUACGUG
rnacentral:rRNA from 1 species